rnacentral:rRNA from 1 species
UACGGGGGGGGCAAGCGUUGUUCGGAAUUACUGGGCGUAAAGGGCGUGUAGGCGGCCAACUAAGUCCGACGUGAAAUCCCCAGGCUUAACCUGGGAACUGCGUCGGAUACUGGAUGGCUUGAAUCCGGGAGAGGGAUGCGGAAUUCCAGGUGUAGCGGUGAAAUGCGCAGAUAUCAGGAGGAACACCGGUGGCGAAGGCGGAUCUCUGGGCCUUACCUGACGCUGAGGCGCGAAAGCUAGGGGAGCGAACAGG